rnacentral:piRNA from 1 species
GCCGUGCGGCACGGAGCGGUAGG